rnacentral:rRNA from 1 species
UAAAUAUUUAAGAGUUUGUAGUGGAUGCCUUGGGUCUGGAAGUCGAAGAAGGACGUGAUUACCUGCGAUAAGCUUUGUCUAGUUGGAAAUAAACUAUGAGACAGAGAUCUCCGAAUGGGGAAACCCAGUGCGAUUAAUCUUGCAUUACUACCUUGUGAAUAUAUAGCAAGGAAAGAGACAUACGUUGUGAAUUGAAACAUCUUAGUAGCAACAGGAAAAGAAAAUAAAUAAUGAUUCCGUCAGUAGCGGCGAGCGAACGCGGAAGAGCCCAAACCAAUUUAUUGGGGUUGUAGGACUGCUUACACGGAGUUACAAAAUUAAUGUAUAGAAGAACAAGUUGGGAAGCUUGGACAUAGAGGGUGAUAUCCCCGUAUUCGAAAUGCAUUAAUCUCUUAGCAGUAUCCUGAGUAGGGCGGGGCACGUGAAACCCUGUCUGAAUCCGCCGGGACCACCCGGUAAGGCUAAAUACUAACCAGACACCGAUAGUGAACUAGUACCGUGAGGGAAAGGUGAAAAGAACCCCGGAAGGGGAGUGAAAUAGAAUCUGAAACUACUUACUUACAAUUAGUCAGAGCGCGUUAAUGCGUGAUGGCGUACAUCUUGCAGUAUGGACCGGCGAGUUAUAUUAUCAUGCGAGGCUAAGUGGAGAAAAGCGGAGCCGUAGAGAAAUCGAGUCUUAAUAGGGCGAAUGAGUAUGAUGGUAUAGACCCGAAACCAGGUGAUCUAUUCAUGAGCAGGCUGAAGCUUAGGUAAAACUAAGUGGAGGGCCGAACCGUAGUACGCUGAAAAGUGCCCGGAUGACUUGUGAAUAGCGGUGAAAUUCCAAUCGAACCUGGAGAUAGCUGGUUCUCCUCGAAAUAGCUUUAGGGCUAGCGUGUGAUGUUAAACUUUGGUGGUAGAGCACUGAAUAUGGAAUGGCGGCGCCUAGCUGUACUGACUAUAAUCAAACUCCGAAUACCAUUGUGAAUUGUCAUGCAGUCGGAACAUCGGUGAUAACGUCGAUGCUCGCGAGGGAAACAACCCAGAUCGUCAGCUAAGGUCCCAAAAUUAUGUUAAGUGAGAAAAGUUGUUGGAUUUCUUAAACAACUAGGAGGUUGGCUUAGAAGCAGCCACCCUUUAAAGAGUGCGUAAUAGCUCACUAGUCAAGAAAACCAGCGCUGAAAAUGUAACGGGACUAAACAUAAUACCGAAGCUACGGGUUUAAUAAGUUUUUAUUAAGCGUUAGAGGAGCGUUCUUAUCUGCAAUGAAGCUAAACCGUGAGGAUUAGUGGAGCGUUAAGAAGUGAGAAUGCCGGUAUGAGUAACGAUUGAGAGUGAGAAUCUCUCACGCCUAUUGGGGAAGGUUUCCUGGGCUAGGUUCGUCCACCCAGGGUUAGUCGGGACCUAAGACGAGGCCGAAAGGAGUAGUCGAUGGACAACAGGUUAAUAUUCCUGUACUUUCGAUAACAGUGAUGGAGUGACGGAGAAGGAUAACUUUACCAGUUAAUGGAUUCUGGAGUAAAUAAAUAGUGGUCAAUGUAGGCAAAUCCGCAUUGUAUAACCGUGAUUUAUGACGCAUAGCGAAAGGCAACAAGUAGCGAAUUAAGUGAUUUCAUGCUUCCAAGAAAAGCUUCUAAACUUAUGUUAUAGGAACCCGUACCGAGAACGGACACACGUCCCCAAGAUGAGUAUUCUAAGGCGAGCGAGAAAACCAUUGUUAAGGAACUCUGCAAAUUGACCCCGUAAGUUCGCGAGAAGGGGCGCUCAAUUAACAAUUUUAUAGCAAUAUAUUAUGAAUUAAGUGAGCCACAGUAAAUUUCAAGGGGCAACUGUUUAUCAAAAACACAGCUCUCUGCUAAGUUGUAAAACGAUGUAUAGGGGGUGAAGUCUGCCCAGUGCCCGAAGGUUAAGCGGAACUGUUAGCUUUGCGAAGCAGUAAAGUGAAGCCCGGGUGAACGGCGGCUGUAACUAUAACGGUCCUAAGGUAGCGAAAUUCCUUGUCGGCUAAAUACUGACCUGCACGAAAGACGCAAUGAUCUCUUGACUGUCUCAACAAUGGACUCGGUGAAAUUAUGGUGCCAGUGAAAACGCUGGCUACCCGCAUCAAGACGAAAAGACCCCGUGGAGCUUUACUACAACUUCGUAUUGGGAUUUGGUUUAACAUGUGUAGAAUAGGUGGGAGACUUUGAAGCCGGGACGCUAGUUCCGGUGGAGUCACCUUUGAAAUACCACCCUUGUUAAAUUGAAUUUCUAACCUGCAACCGUGAUCCGGUUGGGAGACAGUGCGUGGUGGGUAGUUUGACUGGGGCGGUCGCCUCCUAAAAGGUAACGGAGGCGUUCAAAGCUACACUCAAUACGGUCAGAAACCGUAUGUAGAGCGCAAAGGUAAAAGUGUGGUUGACUGCGAGACCUACAAGUCGAGCAGGUGCGAAAGCAGGACUUAGUGAUCCGGCAGUUCAUUGUGGAAUGGCUGUCGCUCAACGGAUAAAAGCUACCCCGGGGAUAACAGGGUUAUCUCCCCCAAGAGAUCACAUCGACGGGGAGGUUUGCCACCUCGAUGUCGGCUCAUCGCAUCCUGGAGCUGGAGUCGGUUCCAAGGGUUUGGCUGUUCGCCAAUUAAAGCGGUACGCGAGCUGGGUUCAGAACGUCGUGAGACAGUUCGGUCCCUAUCUGAUGUGGGCGUUGGAAUAUUGAUGAGAGCUGCUCUUAGUACGAGAGGACCGGAGUGGACGUACCACUGGUGCUCCAGUUGUUUCGCCAGAAGCAUAGCUGGGUAGCCAAGUACGGAAAGGAUAACCGCUGAAAGCAUCUAAGCGGGAAGCCUCCUCAGAGAUGAGUAUUCCCUUGAAAUUCCUUGUAGACGACGAGGUUGAUAGGAUGGAAGUGUACGUGUAGCGAUACAUUUAGCUGACCAUUACUAAUAAAUUGAUAGGUUUAAAAG